rnacentral:rRNA from 1 species
AGUGAACGCUGGCGGUAGGCCUAACACAUGCAAGUCGAACGGCAGCACAGCAGUAGCAAUACUGUGGGUGGCGAGUGGCGGACGGGUGAGGAAUACAUCGGAAUCUACCUUUUCGUGGGGGAUAACGUAGGGAAACUUACGCUAAUACCGCAUACGACCUUAGGGUGAAAGUAGGGGAUCGCAAGACCUUACGCGGAUAGAUGAGCCGAUGUCGGAUUAGCUAGUUGGCGGGGUAAAGGCCCACCAAGGCUACGAUCCGUAGCUGGUCUGAGAGGAUGAUCAGCCACACUGGAACUGAGACACGGUCCAGACUCCUACGGGAGGCAGCAGUGGGGAAUAUUGGACAAUGGGCGCAAGCCUGAUCCAGCCAUACCGCGUGGGUGAAGAAGGCC